AGAAUCAACGCUGGCGGCGUGCCUAACACAUGCAAGUCGAACGAGAAAGUGGAGCAAUCCACGAGUAAAGUGGCGCACGGGUGAGUAACACGUGACUAACCUACCCUUGAGUGGGGGAUAACCUAGGGAAACCUGGGCUAAUACCGCAUAAUACCUUCGGGUCAAAGGAGCAAUUCGCUUAAGGAGGGGUCGCGGCCGAUUAGUUAGUUGGCGGGGUAAUGGCCCACCAAGACUAUGAUCGGUAUCCGGCCUGAGAGGGCGCACGGACACACUGGAACUGAAACACGGUCCAGACUCCUACGGGAGGCAGCAGUGGGGAAUUUUGCGCAAUGGGGGAAACCCUGACGCAGCAACGCCGCGUGGAGGAUGAAGUCCCUUGGGACGUAAACUCCUUUCGAUCGGGACGAUAAUGACGGUACCGAGAGAAGAAGCCCCGGCUAACUUCGUGCCAGCAGCCGC
rnacentral:rRNA from 1 species